UAUUGGUCAGCGUGGGAUGUCUGCACAGUAUGAAGUUGAAAGGCACCGCACACACACACACCUGGCUCACCGGCUGCCUCUUUGGUCUGCGUCACCUUUUGUCAGGCUCAUGUUAAUUAAGCCCCGUCAACGACAAACACACGCACACACAUGCACCCUCACCGGGGUGCCUUUUAAUGAGCCUGCCAUUUGAUAGUUAUAGACACCAAACCAAUGUGCUUGUUUUAUGUCUUGAUGUGUCUGUGUGUGUGCUUUCUGAAGAAGAAGACGAAGGUGAAAAAGAGGAGGAGGUUUUGGGGAAGAUCAGCUGAUGAGGGAUUGUUUAAGGCUCCCUCACCUCUGUGUUCUCAGGGAGAGUGACCUAACCUGAAAAUAAUUACAACUACUGAACUGUCACUGCACCCUCCACCUCAUCUCCAGCCCUUAUCGCCAAAAACACGCACCCCACAGGGCACCAGGAACUGCUGUCUGUGGAAGCCUGUUUGAGUAAAACCCAAAACAAGUAAUUGUAAGAUACAGACUUCAAGUUAGUAGAGCAGCAAUGGAGUGGAGGUGAGAAGAAAAGACUGCAUUGAGAGUAUGUGGACGAAAAAACAGAACAGACAGGCAAGUGUUUUAUUGAAUCUGUGGUGUCCACAGAAUCGGCUAACUCACUUAGAGGGCGUCUCUAAAAGCAUUCAGUGUGUGGAGCCCUAUGGGCAGUGUCACUCUCAAUCUACAAAACAGAGGACCGGAGGGGCUGCUCUUUGAAUAAGAAAACUACUUUUACAAUACAGAUGGAUUAUUUCAUCUCUGACUGGUCCCUCCUGAGACUUCAGCCGCAUAUUUCGGGGGAAUGAAAAAUAGGGCCGUGAAUGUGUGUUUGGUCAAAUCUGAUAUCAAUAUCACUUUAGAGAGAUUAUUUCCCCAUAUAUGCCUCUCAGAAGCUUUUCACUCUGCUUGGCUCAUGGGGAUAGAAUUUGCUUCUAAAUUAAAUGCAACGGUCGAGGGCACCACAUGGGGUCUGGAUUCCAGGACAUAUCAUAUAUAUCUGAAGUUGCUCAAAAAUCUAA